CAAUAGCGUAUAUUAAAGUUGUUGCAGUUAAAAAGCUCGUAGUUGAAUUUUUGCUUGCCGCCGAUGUCGGAACUUCCGUACGUUCGGCGGCGUGCAUCCUUGGGUGGAACCUGUGUGGCAUUAGGUUGUCGUGCAGGGGAUGCUCAUCGUUUACUGUGAAAAAAUUAGAGUGUUCAAAGCAGGCUUAUGCCGUUGAAUAUAUUAGCAUGGAAUAAUAAGAUAGGACCUUGGUACUAUUUUGUUGGUUUGCGCACCGAGGUAAUGAUUAACAGGGACAGUUGGGUGUAUUCGUAUUCCAUUGUCAGAGGUGAAAUUCUUGGAUUUCUGGAAGACGAACUACUGCGAAAGCAUUUACCAAGGAUGUUUUCAUUAA
rnacentral:rRNA from 1 species